rnacentral:tRNA from 1 species
GAAGGUAUAGCUCAGUGGUAGAGUGCAUGCUUAGCAUGCACAAGGUCCUGGGUUCAAUCCCCAGUACUUCCA